rnacentral:tRNA from 1 species
GCGUCGGUGGUGUAAUGGCGUAGGUCACUCCCGCCCUGUCAGCAGGAGGUGCGGGUUCGAGUCCCUCCUGGUGCU